rnacentral:rRNA from 1 species
UUGAUCCCUGGCUCAGAUUGAACGCUGGCGGCAGGCCUAACACAUGCAAGUCGAGCGGCAGCACGGGUACUUGUACCUGGUGGCGAGCGGCGGACGGGUGAGUAAUGCCUAGGAAUCUGCCUGGUAGUGGGGGAUAACGCUCGGAAACGGACGCUAAUACCGCAUACGUCCUACGGGAGAAAGCAGGGGACCUUCGGGCCUUGCGCUAUCAGAUGAGCCUAGGUCGGAUUAGCUAGUUGGUGAGGUAAUGGCUCACCAAGGCGACGAUCCGUAACUGGUCUGAGAGGAUGAUCAGUCACACUGGAACUGAGACACGGUCCAGACUCCUACGGGAGGCAGCAGUGGGGAAUAUUGGACAAUGGGCGAAAGCCUGAUCCAGCCAUGCCGCGUGUGUGAAGAAGGUCUUCGGAUUGUAAAGCACUUUAAGUUGGGAGGAAGGGCAGUUACCUAAUACGUAUCUGUUUUGACGUUACCGACAGAAUAAGCACCG